rnacentral:rRNA from 1 species
UGGGGAAUAUUGGGCAAUGGGCGAAAGCCUGACCCAGCCAUGCCGCGUGAGUGAUGAAGGCCUUAGGGUUGUAAAGCUCUUUCGCAGUCGAAGAUAAUGACGGUAAACUGAGAAGAAGCCCCGGCUAACUUCGUGCCAGCAGCCGCGGUAAUACGAAGGGGGCUAGCGUUGUUCGGAAUCACUGGGCGUAAAGCGCGCGUAGGCGGCCAUUCAAGUCAGAGGUGAAAUCCUGCGGCUUAACCGUAGAAUUGCCUUUGAAACUGUCUGGCUGGAGUCCCGGAGGGGGUGGCGGAAUUCCUAGUGUAGGGGUGAAAUCCGUAGAGACUAGGAGGAACACCAGUGGCGAAGGCGGCCACCUGGACGGGAACUGACGCUGAGGCGCGAAAGCGUGGGUAGCAAACAGG